rnacentral:rRNA from 1 species
AGAGUUUGAUCAUGGCUCAGGACGAACGCUGGCGGCGUGCCUAAAACAUGCAAGUCGAACGAGGUCCACCCAGUGGGCAACACUGGGUGAAGACCUAGUGGCGAACGGGUGAGUAACACGUGAGGAACCUGCCCCGAAGACCGGGAUAACCCUCCGAAAGGAGAGCUAAUACCGGAUACCCCCACCAGAUCGCAUGGUCAGGUGAGGAAAUGCAUUGUGCUUCGGGAGGGCCUCGCGGCCUAUCAGCUUGUUGGUGGGGUAACGGCCCACCAAGGCGUCGACGGGUAGCUGGUCUGAGAGGACGAUCAGCCACACUGGGACUGAGACACGGCCCAGACUCCUACGGGAGGCAGCAGUUAGGAAUCUUGCGCAAUGGGCGAAAGCCUGACGCAGCAACGCCGCGUGGGGGAUGAAGGCCUUCGGGUUGUAAACCCCUUUCAGUCGGGACGAAAAUGACAGUACCGACAGAAGAAGCCCCGGCCAACUACGUGCCAGCAGCCGCGGUGACACGUAGGGGGCAAGCGUUGUCCGGAUUUAUUGGGCGUAAAGGGCUCGUAGGCGGUUCGACAAGUCGGGUGUGAAACCUCCAGGCUCAACCUGGAGUCGCCGCUCGAAACUGUUGUGACUAGAGUCCGGUAGAGGAGCAUGGAAUUUGUGGUGUAGCGGUGGAAUGCGCAGAUAUCACAAGGAACACCAGUAGCGAAGGCGAUGCUCU